CUGAGGUUUUUUCCUCUCUCUCUCUUCUCUCUUCUCUCAUCUCUAUCUUUCAGAGAGAGAGAGUUUUUCUCAGUUUUUGAUGUAUAUUCCGAUUAAUAUGGGACGUUUUCCACUUAGAUCGGAUUUCUUAUUCCGUUUAUCGGAUAAUAAUCUCCGAUUUGUUCGGUUUUUUUCUCUUCCAUCAAUCGAAAUCCUUUUGCUAUCUUUCUUUGUUGAUUCUUUCUACGUGAUUUAAUUAAAUCUUUCACUAACUAAUCCUUAGUGGGUGAAGGGUUUUAUCAUGUUAGAGGAAUCAUGGUUCUUUCUAUGUUAAAGCAAAAGUUUUCGAUUUGUAUGGAUGUUGUUGUUGUCCUUGUCUCCUCCGCAGAUGGUAAGUGUUGGAUUUUCUCUUCUUUAAUUUUGAUUUCAUCGUCUCUCGGCUGGGAGUUUUAUCUCCCCAAUUCCCUUUUAAGAGCCUUGUCAAGGUAAAAGGUGGUCUUGAGUUAAAGAUGAACGGUGGUCAUUUUAAUGAAGAAGUUGAAUUCUGAUUGAGUGGAUCUCAUGGAAUCUAAAUCGGAGGAGUUAAAGCGAAAAACAGAGGUGUUCAGGUGAAGCCUUUGGAUGGCACAGGAGAUUGCUUGUGAUGGUGGUGAAAAAACUGCCGUCGACGGAGUUCCGGCGGAGAUGCAGCGUUCUGUCUCUUGUUUUGCCACGUGCCCUUGUUUUUUCCUUUUUAAAACACGUGUGUAUAACGUGUAUCGUCAUCUAUUUGGUGUUGAUCUUAACAUUUGUAGUGGGCCUCUAAUGGGCUUUGUAACACUUUUGUUUUGAAUUUUACAAUUAAUAGAUAUGACGACAAAAAAAAAAUUAACAUUCGACAGCAAAAUCUUUUAAAACGAAUAAAAACUUUUUAUAUCCUUUCAUCUCUCUUACCUCUCAUCUCUCUUUCUCUUUCCAGCAACGACAAAACUCUUUCCCUCAUGACUAUUUUCUGAGUUUUUCCGGCAUGACUGGCAGAGUCGUAGUCCCAACGCUCUUCUCCUUGUUUAGUCUUCUCUUCUUCUCUGAUUUCCUCUCGUCUUCUCCGAUUUCUCCUCUUUUCUCUGAUUUCCUUUUCUCCUGUUUCUGUAAGGGUUUAAGUUCUACGGUGAGGAGGAUGAGCAGUGGAUCUGGAGCUUUGAGUGGAACAUCUCGAGCUCAAGGAAGAGUCAUUGAUGUGCUGAGGAGAUGUUGGUGUGGUGAUCAAAUCGUGGCAAAGAUAUCCAGAUCCAAUGUGAAUUCAUACUUUUGUUACUAUAGCCUAUUAGCCUUCUAGUAUUCGAUCUAAAGUUUGUGUCCAUAGUUAAAUAAGUAAAUAAGGCAACUACGUCGUUUAACAACAAAUCUAUAAGUCUACGAUUACGUAAGAACAAGUCUACUAUUUCAUAAGUAAAUUAGUCAGCUAA